ACGAGUCCUAUCCAAAGAAAAUCAGUCAUGUGAGGUCAUCAAUGGUGUGGACACUACCAUAAAGCAGGGGAGUGAGGAUCCCUAAUUUCACCACAGAAGUACUAGGCAGCCUCUUAUCUCGACUGCCAAGCAUGCUGGAAGUUUCUCUAAGGGCCAAUUUCCCUGGAUUAUUUAUUUCCUAGCAGGAGAAGACUCAAGAUCAUCUAUACUAUUUGGCCGGGAUCUCACAAUGAGGUGCUUUGUGAGCCUCACGCCAGGGUUGAUUUGGCACCUCCGUUACAAAGAGCAUGUGCAGACUGUGACAGGCUUUCAGGAAAGCCACAUCCCACAUGUGCUCCUCUGGUUCCCUCAUUGGUGUUCGGGAAGAGGAGGUUGGUUCCUCCCCGUGAGCUGGGUGCUAUGACAGAUUAGACUUUUAUGCGAGAAAAUAAAUCCUGCACAUUUGAUGUACUACUUUAGACUUAAAGACCUCCUGGGACCUGAAAUUGGAAGCUGCUGGUUGAUCUGCUCUAGAGGGUCCAGGAUGGCUUCACCCAUAUGCCUGAUGCCCUAGUUGGUGAAGUAAGUAGAAGGUUUAUAUCUCAAAGGGAUUCGUAAUGAAUGCUGAUUGAGUUCAUUUUCACCUAAGAGGAUCUGAAUCUUUCUACCUCAGGAGUCUAGGAUUGUAUUCUCUACAAGAGGAAGACAAGGGAGGGAUGCCUGUGUGGCCUUCCGCGCAGGUCGUGAUCCUGGGGUCCUGGGAUUGAGUCCUGUGCCAGGCUCCUCACAGGGAGCUGUGCCAGGCUCCUCACAGAGCUUCUCCCUCUGCCUGUCUCUGCCUCUCUCUCUCUCUGUGUCUGUCAUGAAUAAAUAAAUAAAAUCUUAUUAAAAAAUAGGAAGACAAGGGAUGGAGAGGUGUCAGGAGAGAGAAAUUCUUUACUUGCAUCUACCAUGUUAUAGCCAACAGAGUGUUGAGAGAAGAUGAAGAAAGAUUAGGACUGUGGGACUCACAGGUUCUCGGGAUAGAAUAUGUAUCAGAAAAUGUGUGUCUGAGCAGGUAACGAUACAGGCUGGAGCAUAUCUAGUACUAUGACGAACAAGAGAACGUUUCACAGAGGUCUUCCUUGCUAUUUAAUUUUCGCCAUGCUUUACCCUUGGAUAAGACUCUAUUAGCAAGUCAAAGGGAGUCAAGGUCAUGAGGGACUAGUCCAAUGCAAUACUGCAUCUGGGAGGGUGGAUAUGUUGAGUCUCUGAAGGAAAGGCACAUAAUCAGCAUCUCUGAAGGGGAAAGUAAUAUGCAAUGGCCACAGCAGGCCAAUUAGAAAUACGGAUCAGCAAAUUAACUUUUCCCUAGGCUUCAGAGUAAGUAUUUCCUAGAGGCUAAGAAAGUGGUGGAGUGAUUGGUAGAGGGUCUGAAAAUCAGCCAAAAGGAGGUCUCGUGGGCUUCAUUAAAAUAAGUUAAGGGUAAGAAGCUUUUGGGGUGUGAAGAGAUGAGAGGACUUAGUGGCUAAUGAGUGAGGGACUAAGGGACAGGGAAUUUGCAAUCUGGAUCAACGAAAGCUUUGCUGGGGUGCUCUGGGAAACUCGCUUCAUUUCUUGAUUCCUCUGGCCCCUUGCCUUGAAACCAAGCUACUCCAACUUACCUCAUGGGGUGGCUGUGAGAAAGAGAAUAAAAGCCAGCUCAAAGACUUUUGCAAAUACACAAAAAUAUAUGAAAG